GGUGACAUCACUGAGUGUCUCCACUGAGAGCUCAAGUUCUUUUUCCCCAAAACAGAGCUGGGAGGCAUGUGAUUCUGCCCCGGACAUGAAAUGGGCACCAGGCUCUUCUUAUUUGUGGCCCUGUGUUUCCUGUGGGCAGGGCACAUGGAGGCUGAAAUCACCCAGAGCCCAAGACACAGGGUCGCAAAGACAGGAAAGGAGGUGAUCCUGAGAUGUCACCAGAAUAAGAACCACGACUAUAUGUAUUGGUAUCGGCAUGACCUGGGACAAGCGCUGAGGCUUAUCUAUUACUCAACUGGUGUUAACAUCACUGACAAAGGAGAAAUCCAUGAUGGCUAUGGUGUCUCUAGGUCAAAAACAGAGGAUUUUUCCCUGACAAUGGAGUCUGCUGCCCCCUCCCAGACAUCUGUGUACUUCUGUGCCUGCAAUCCAGGAGCCACCCAGAUUUUUGGAGCCGGCAGCCGAUUGACGGUUCUGGAUGACCUGAGAAAGGUGAAACCCCCCAAGGUCACCGUGUUUGAACCAUCAGAAGCAGAGAUCGCGCGGACCCAGAAGGCCACACUUGUGUGCCUGGCCACAAACUUCUACCCUGACCACGUGGAGCUGAGCUGGUGGGUGAACGGAAAGGAGGUCCACAGUGGGUUCAGCACAGACCCACAACCCUACAAGGAGAAGCCUGACCGCAACGACUCCAGUUACUGCCUGAGCAGCCGCCUGAGGGUCUCUGCCACCUUCUGGCACAACCCCCGCAACCACUUCCGCUGCCAAGUGCAGUUCUAUGGGCUCGGGGUCGAAGAUGAGUGGACAGAGGGUUGGGACAAACCCAUCACCCAGAAUAUCAGUGCUGAGGCCUGGGGCAGAGCAGACUGUGGCUUCACCUCAGUGUCCUAUCAGCAAGGGGUCCUGUCUGCCACCAUCCUGUAUGAGAUCCUGCUGGGGAAGGCCACCGUGUAUGCCGUGCUGGUCAGCGCCCUCGUGCUGAUGGCCAUGGUCAAGAAGAAAAAUUCCUGAGGCAGCUCCAAUUGUGCAUCCUAGAGUCACUCCUCUUCCUCAGCCUGGAUUCUCUUUUACCUGUUCCCAAUCUGAGUUCCGGUAGAAUGAUUCUCCUUCCACGUCUCGUCUCCUUCCUACAAGGAUAUCUGUCCCUUCUGUCUGCUUUCCCACAGACUGAGCUCACCCAACCCUGAAUAUGAAAUAGACUAAACCAAUAAAAAUGGUUUUGUGGGCC